CCUACGGGAGGCAGCAGUGAGGAAUAUUGGUCAAUGGACGAGAGUCUGAACCAGCCAAGUAGCGUGAAGGAUGACUGCCCUAUGGGUUGUAAACUUCUUUUAUAUGGGAAUAAAAUGUUCCACGUGUGUGAUUUUGUGUGUACCAUAUGAAUAAGGAUCGGCUAACUCGGUGCCAGCAGCCGCGGUAAUACGGAGGAACCGAGCGUUAUCCGGAUUUAUUGGGUUUAAGGGGAGCGUAGGUGGAUUGUUAAGUCAGUUGUGAAAGUUUGCGGCUCAACCGUAAAAUUGCAGUUGAAACUGGCAGUCUUGAGUACAGUAGAGGUGGGCGGAAUUCGUGGUGUAGCGGUGAAAUGCUUAGAUAUCACGAAGAACUCCGAUUGCGAAGGCAGUUCACUGGACUGCAACUGACACUGAGGCUCGAAAGUGUGGGUAUCAAACAGGAUUAGAUACCCCUGUAGUC
rnacentral:rRNA from 1 species